AUUUAAAAGAACCCAUCAAAUUUAUUUAUACAAGUGUCAAAAUUAUUUUUAUUCUUAUUUAUUUUGAAAACGAUGAUUUAAUUUCAAAUGAGCACUGCAGGUUUGCAAUUUCAUGGAGUUUGCACUGAAUUCUAAUUUACAGAGAAUUGCAAACCAAAAUUCUUGACUAUUUACAAGGAAAAAAUCAAACUAUUUUGCAAGAAUAACUUCAUUGUUGUAAAAAUAAAUAAACAAUCAUUGGUCAUUAUGAUAUCACAAAUUCAUUAUUGAAUGUCCAACAUUCAUAAUUGAAUUGUCCAUAUCAAACAUGAAAAGUUGAUCCAUUAUAUUCUAUAUAUAUAUAUAUAUACAAAAAUAUUUUUAAUUUCUCUCUGUCAAGAUAAGGUAAGAGUAUUAUAAUAUAUUAUAUAUACCACUACAUUAAUGUACAUAGUGUUUAACAUUGAUUAACAUAUAAAAAAAAUAUAAUUAAAGAAAAAAGAAAAUGUAAAAACAACAAUAAAAGUGGUGGAAGUGGAUACUUACAAGCACUUAAUUUAUGCGGGACCCCAUCAAAACACCUGGCAGCAUGAUAACGUGGAUUAUGGAAGAAAAGUUUUCAAAUUGUUGUCAGCAACUUUCCACACUAAAUAGAGCAAAACAAUAAAUAAAUGAUUAAAUAAAAAUCACUUAAUUAAACAAAUACAGUAAAGCGCUUGAUUGUCUUUUUUGUCUGAAAAAGUUUGCACUCAUUAGAAAUAGUAACUUGGCAUCCACAAUAAAUUAAGUGACAAAUA
rnacentral:lncRNA from 1 species